rnacentral:rRNA from 1 species
GACAGAGGUGCCGAGCGUUAGGCGGAAUCACUGGGCUUAAAGCGUGUGUAGGCGGGUCGUUAAGUGUCUUGUGAAAUCCCCCGGCUCAACCGGGGAAUGGCUGGGCAUACUGGCGAUCUUGAGCAGUCUAGGGGCAGAUGGAACAAGUGGUGGAGCGGUGAAAUGCGCAGAUAUCAGGAGGAACACCGGUGGCGAAGGCGGCGAUCUGGACGAUGACUGACGCUGAGACGCGAAAGCGUGGGGAGCAAACAGG